AUCACUUCUUGGCCUUCUGGAUAAGAUCAAGUGUAGUGUCUGUUCUUGUUAGUUUAACAAUAGGCUUCCUCAGAGGGGUAAUUACAAUUAAUUAAAAUUGUAAAAUCAUACAUGGUUGGUCUCCUGUCCAGUUGCUGCCGGUAAGCAGUGUGCUCCCCAGUUUGUGGAGGGCCCCAUCCUUGGGGAGGAUGACU
ensembl:snRNA U2 U2 spliceosomal RNA